rnacentral:piRNA from 1 species
UACUAUCUUAUUCUCCCAUGGAGGCACUG